GAGGGUGUAGUUCAGUGGUAGAACGUCGUAUGUUACAUCUGCCUAAAACUUAUAGAAAUAAUUGCUAAUAGAGAUCUUGUAGAGCCUUAAUUAUCCGAGACUCGUGGUUCAAUUCCCGGCGCCCUCC